UCUACCCCUAGGGGCUUUACAUGUGUGGCUGCUGUGUCACAUGUGCAUCAAUAGGUGGCAAAGAAGAGAGAGGCUGUGUCUAUGCUCAGUGCCCUGACCUAUGAACAUCUGAAUAAAAGAAGCAUGUGGUG